CCCUUAGAUGUUCUGGGCUGCACGCGCGCUACACUGAUGCACUCAACGAGUUUACGACCUUGCCCGAUAGGGUUGGGUAAUCUUUUUAAAAUGCAUCGUGAUGGGGAUAGAUUAUUGCAAUUAUUAAUCUUCAACGAGGAAUUCCUAGUAAGCGCGAGUCAUCAGCUCGUGCUGAUUACGUCCCUGCCCUUUGUACACACCGCCCGUCGCUCCUACCGAUUGAGUGCUCAGGUGAAUAACUCGGACUGCAGCAAUGUUUGGAUCCCGAACGUUGCAGCGGAAAGUUUAGUGAACCUUAUCACUUAGAGGAAGGAGAAGUCGUAACA
rnacentral:rRNA from 1 species